AUAAGUCGUCCAUCGUUGUAGGAGGCUUUUUAGCCAGUGAUUCGAAAAAUGGAGUGCCUGGACAGAUGCUUCGUUUGAAGAUCUGUAGGACAGCAUCCAUACUGCAAGCCUCUACUUGAAGUACGGCUUGGCCAAACCGCUUCACAAAUUCCCUCAAGGAUUCGUUAUCUUGCAUUUUUAUGUUCUACAAGGUGCUGAUAUUUU
rnacentral:lncRNA from 1 species